CCUUGGAAACACCUACAUGGCCAUCACGACUGAAGUGGUGUUCGCUGACAGGUAAAAUGCAGGUGCAACCUUCACAGGGUGACAGAGAUUGAGUGAUAACAGACACUGGAGACCCUCCAAGCGAUGGCUGGUGACCGCCUGCCACCAUCCACAGGCUGUCACACAAGGAGCCCUGGGAGUAACCUUGCUGGAAGCCCCGCGGGCCGCAGUGUGUGGCUGGCGUUAUACAGCCCCCAGCCAUCGCCUGGAGGGCAUCCAGUGUCUGUUAUCACUCACCUUAGGUAGUCUGUGAAGGUCCAGUCAUCACUGGUGCACGUGUAUCUUACCUGUGAUCAACACCGGCAGCCACAGACUCCUGCCCAAGGAACGAACACAGUGAUCGUGAUGACAUUGACAACAACGAGCAAGUCCUCCUAGACCUAGAGUGACCUCAAGCUGGGCCAAACAUGAUGUGGAAGAAGAAAUCAGUUGUUUCCAUCAGUCGGGUUUGUGCCAUGGCAGCUUUCUCCAGCUGUCCGGCAGAGGUCCAGUCCAUGCCAUGGAGAAAUUCAGCCCCCAACAAUGAGAUGGCAUGCCAGAGAUGGAUCUGCAGCUUCUCCUCCAAUCAAUCAAUCCUUGCAAUGCCCUUUCUCUUUUUUCUCCUUCUGUACCACCAUGCUUACACAUAACUGAUCCAAGGUACUUAAACUCGUUAACCUCCUCCAUUUCUUCACCAUUCAAAAUUAUUUGGCAUUCUUUUUCACAUUCAAUGCCCACUCUAUAUGGGCAUACAAACUCUACAACCUCCCUUCUACUCUGCUCACAAACCAUCACUUUACUUUUGUUGAAAUUUACUUUCAACUUUCUCCUUUUACAUACACUAUCAAAAACACUGACCAAAUUUUGUAAGUCACUUUCAUUUUCUGCAUUGAGCACCGUGUCAUCAGCAAAUAAGAUUGAAUUCAUCACCCACUUCCUUCCCUCCCUCAGCAUACAUUUUUACUUCAAUUUCCCCAACUUUGCCCUUCAUUUCUCAUAACACCAUCCAUAUAAAUAUUGAACAACCACGAUGACAUGACACACCCCUGCCUUAGCCCACUUUCAUCUCAAAAUGUUCACUUGUUUCUCCACUAAUUUUGACACAUGCAGAUGCAUCCUCAUAGAAAGACUUUAUUGCAUAAAGCAGUUUUCCUCCCACACCAUAUAUCUUUAAGACGUCCCACAAUGCCAGCCAAUCGACUCUGUCAUAAACUUUCUUUAGAAUAACUAGAUCCAUGAAGGCAGCAUAGUAUUUUUUCCUUUUGCUAAUAUUUUUUCUAAUAAAACACCAUCCUGAAGGAAAAUAUCUGAUCCACACAUCCUCUUCCCUUCCUGAAGUCUCCUUGUUCUUCACUGAUUUUCUCUUCUGUAAGUCUUUGCGCAGUCUCAAUUAGGACUUUUCCAUAUACCUUUCCAGGUAGCCUACACUCAGCAGACUUAUACCCCUACAACUCCCACCUCCCCUCUCCUGCCCUUCCCCUUGUAAACUGGGACCAUGAUGGCUUUUGUCAAGUCUGCUGGGACCUCCCCCCCCCCUUCCCAGGCUACUUCACAUAUCUUGACCAUUCAUAAAGUAACUUCAUCUCCACACUUCAACAUUUCUGCUGUGAUUCCUCUCAAUUCAUUCAUCAUCAUCAUCUCGUCGACGCCUGCUCUUAGGAGCUCCCACCAGGGGAUGGCCACGGCAGAAGUUUCCAUCUUUCUCUAUCCGGACACUCCCUCCUUGCCUGCUCAAAGUUUCUCAAGGAUCUCUCAUCCUUCUCCCUAAUGUACUCCUGCACCCUAUCUCUCCAUUUCACUGGAGGUCGUCCUCUAACAUUCCCUCCCUCAAUCUCACAUACACCCUUCUGGUCAUCUUACUCUCCUCCAUUCACUCCAUGUGGCCAAACCACUUUAAAGUCACUUAUUCCCUUCACCCCCGUGACACAUUCCAAAACGCUCAUACACACUUUCAUUACUUAUUCCAUCCAUUCUACUCACACCACAAGCACUCCUCAAAUAACUCAUUUCCACUGCCUGCACUCUAGACCUCUGACUUUCAUUCAAGGCCCAUGUUUCACUUGCAUAUGUGAGGGUUGGUACUAUUAUUGUAUUUUCAACUGAUAACUGAUCCAAGGUACUUAAACUCAUUGACCUCCUCCAUUUCUUCACCAUUCAGAAUUAUUUUGCAUUCUUUUUCACAUUCAGUUCCCACUCUAUAUGGGCAUACAAAAUCUACAACUUCACUUCUACUCCCCUCACAAACCAUCACUUUACUUUUGUUGACAUUUACUUUCAGCUUUCUCCUUUUACAGACGCUAUGAAAAUCACUGACCAAGUUUUGUAAGUCACUUUCAUUUUCUGCAAUGAGCACUGUGUCAUCAGUAAACAGGAUUGAAUUCAGCACCCACUACCCUCCCUCAGCAUACAUUUUUACUCCAACUUUGCCCUUUAUUUCUCUCAUGACACCAUCCAUAUAAAUAUUGAACAACCAUGGUGACAUGACACGCCCCUGCCUUAAUCCCACCUUUAUCUCAAAAUGUUCACUUGUUUCUCCACCAAUUUUGACACAUGCAGAUGCAUCCUCAUAGAAAAACUUUAUUGCACUAAGCAGCUUUCCUCCUACACCAUAAAUCUUUAAAACAUCCCACAAUGCAAUCCAAUCGAAUCUGUCAUAAGCUUUUUCAAAGUCCAUGAAGGCAGCGUAUAGUUUCUUUCCUUUUGCUAUUAUUUUUUCUACUACCAUCCUGAAGGAAAAUAUCUGAUUGAUUCCAUCAGUUCCUGCUGCUUUUCCAUUUUUUCAUCUUUUUAAUGCCUGAUUUACUUCUUCAUAUGUUAUACUUCUUUCUUUAUAUACUCCUCCUCUACCUCCGCUCAAAACUGUUGCUGUAACAGCUGCUGGACGUCCAUCAUCAAAAUUCAUUAAGUUUUUGAAAUA